rnacentral:rRNA from 1 species
GACGAACGCUGGCGGCGUGCUUAACACAUGCAAGUCGAACGGAAAGGCCCUGCUUUUGUGGGGUGCUCGAGUGGCGAACGGGUGAGUAACACGUGAGUAACCUGCCCUUGACUUUGGGAUAACUUCAGGAAACUGGGGCUAAUACCGGAUAGGAGCUCCUGCUGCAUGGUGGGGGUUGGAAAGUUUCGGCGGUUGGGGAGGGACUCGCGGCUUAUCGGCUUGUUGGUGGGGUAGUGGCUUACCAAGGCUUUGACGGGUAGCCGGCCUGAGUGGGUGACCGGCCACAUGGGGACUGAGAUACGGCCCAGACUCCUACGGGAGGCAGCGGUGGGGAAUAUUGCACAAGGGGCGGAAGCCGGAUGCAGCAACGCCGCGUGCGGGAUGACGGCCUUCGGGUUGUAAACCGCUUUCGCCUGUGACGAAGCGUGAGUGACGGUAAUGGGUAAAGAAGCACCGGCUAACUACGUG